rnacentral:rRNA from 1 species
CCAAGGCUAAAUACUCCUGACUGACCGAUAGUGAACCAGUACCGUGAGGGAAAGGCGAAAAGAACCCCGGCGAGGGGAGUGAAAAAGAACCUGAAACCGUGUACGUACAAGCAGUGGGAGCACGCUUAGGCGUGUGACUGCGUACCUUUUGUAUAAUGGGUCAGCGACUUAUAUUCUGUAGCAAGGUUAACCGAAUAGGGGAGCCGAAGGGAAACCGAGUCUUAACUGGGCGUUAAGUUGCAGGGUAUAGACCCGAAACCCGGUGAUCUAGCCAUGGGCAGGUUGAAGGUUGGGUAACACUAACUGGAGGACCGAACCGACUAAUGUUGAAAAAUUAGCGGAUGACUUGUGGCUGGGGGUGAAAGGCCAAUCAAACCGGGAGAUAGCUGGUUCUCCCCGAAAGCUAUUUAGGUAGCGCCUCGUGAAUUCAUCUCCGGGGGUAGAGCACUGUUUCGGCAAGGGGGUCAUCCCGA